UUGAACGCUGGCGGCAGGCCUAACACAUGCCAGUCGAACGGUAACAGGAAGCAGCUUGCUGCUUUGCUGACGAGUGGCGGACGGGUGAGUAAUGUCUGGGAAACUGCCUGAUGGAGGGGGAUAACUACUGGAAACGGUAGCUAAUACCGCAUAACGUCGCAAGACCAAAGAGGGGGACCUUCGGGCCUCUUGCCAUCGGAUGUGCCCAGAUUGGAUUAGCUAGUAGGUGGGGUAACGGCUCACCUAGGCGACGAUCCCUAGCUGGUCUGAGAGGAUGACCAGCCACACUGGAACUGAGACACGGUCCAGACUCCUACGGGAGGCAGCAGUGGGGAAUAUUGCACAAUGGGCGCAAGCCUGAUGCAGCCAUGCCGCGUGUAUGAAGAAGGCCUUCGGGUUGUAAAGUACUUUCAGCGGGGAGGAAGGGAGUAAAGUUAAUACCUUUGCUCAUUGACGUUACCCGCAGAAGAAGCACCGGCUAACUCCGUG
rnacentral:rRNA from 1 species